AGCUCCAAUAGCGUAUAUUUAAGUUGUUGCAGUUAAAAAGCUCGUAGUUGGAACUUGGGACGUAAAGGUCGGUCCGCCUACUCGGUGUGCACCUGUCCUUCCGUCCCUUUUGUCGGCGGCGUGCUCCUGGCCUUAAUUGGCUGGGUCGCGGUUCCGGCGCUGUUACUUUGAAAAAAUUAGAGUGCUCAAAGCAAGCUUAUGCUCUGAAUACAUUAGCAUGGAAUAACGUGAUAGGAGUCUGGUCCUAUUGUGUUGGCCUUCGGGACCGGAGUAAUGAUUAAUAGGGACUGUCGGGGGCAUUCGUAUUUCAUUGUCAGAGGUGAAAUUCUUGGAUUUAUGAAAGACGGACCACUGCGAAAGCAUUUGCCAAGGAUGUUUUCA
rnacentral:rRNA from 1 species